GGGCCCUUAGCUCAGUUGGUUAGAGCAUCCGGCUCAUAACCGGGCGGUCCCGGGUUCAAGUCCCUGAGGGCCCACCA
rnacentral:tRNA from 1 species